ACCCGAAUCACCUGAGGAGCUUGAUAAAAUACAAAAUCUGAUUUAGCAGGUCUGGGAUAGGGCCUGAAAUUCUGUAUUUCUAGGGAGCAACCAGAUGAUGCUAAU
rnacentral:pre_miRNA from 1 species